GUUCCCGUAGUUAAAGUUAUAUAACGACAGCUUUUCAAGCUGUAGGUCCUAGAGAGAAGCUGGGCGGGAACU
rnacentral:tRNA from 1 species